GGAGGGGUGCAAGCGUUGUUCGGAAUUAUUGGGCGUAAAGAGCGUGUAGGCGGGGUUGAACAAGUCAGAUGUGAAAAUCCCUCGGCUCAACCGAGGAAGUGCAUUUGAAACUGUUCAGCUUGAGUACGGGAGAGGAGAGCGGAAUUCCCGGUGUAGAGGUGAAAUUCGUAGAUAUCGGGAGGAACACCAGUGGCGAAGGCGGUUCUCUGGCCCGAUACUGACGCUGAGACGCGAAAGCGUGGGGAGCAAACAGGAUUAGAUACCCUGGUAGUCCACGCCGUAAACGAUGGGCACUAGGUGUAGGAGGUACUGACUCCUUCUGUGCCGAAGCUAACGCAUUAAGUGCCCCGCCUGGGGAGUACGGCCGCAAGGCUA
rnacentral:rRNA from 1 species